rnacentral:rRNA from 1 species
CUUUCCUUGAUGACGACUGGCGCACGGGUGAGUAACGCGUAUCCAACCUUCCCAUAACUACGGGAUAACCCGUUGAAAGACGGCCUAAUACCGUAUGAUAUCGUUUGCUGACAUCAAAUAACGAUUAAAGGUUUAGCGGUUAUGGAUGGGGAUGCGUCUGAUUAGCUUGUUGGCGGGGUAACGGCCCACCAAGGCAACGAUCAGUAGGGGUUCUGAGAGGAAGGUCCCCCACAUUGGAACUGAGACACGGUCCAAACUCCUACGGGAGGCAGCAGCU